UCUCCUACAAACCAGGGUUGGCUGACUCGAGGCGUCCGAACCGCCGAGGCUGACAAGGGAGCCCCAACUCGCAGGGUCUUUCAUCCGCUAAUCUUUUCCCCGGGACCACAGAUCCCGGAAGACUCUAUACCCGCUCCAAGCGCAUUACCCUCUGGGAUUUGUAGUCGGAGCCACCCCGUCAGGGGGCGCCCUCUAUCUGCGGCAGUGAGCGUUCAGCCUCCCCGGCCUCCGCAAAGCGGGAGCGCGGGAAAAUGCGGCUUGUGCGAGCAGCCGUGCGCGCGGACAGAGGUAACCCCAGCUGCAGAGGUUGCCCAUACAGGCACCAGGUCUUGGAGUUAAGUCAACAGGAGAAGAGUCAAGGGAGGUUACAGAUGAGAGGAGAGACUACAUGAUCUUUCAUCAACUGCAAAUGUUCUUUAGUGAUGGAUUCUGAUUACACUCUUCUCAACCAAGGAUCCCCUACCGAGGUAAUAGGAGCCUGAAGCUGUGGAAGGAAGCCAAGCUAACUGGUUCACAGAAGAUUUAAACUCCCAUUUGCUGUAUACUAUAGCCAACUGACUUAACUAGUGACAGGCUAGCUACUUAGACCACCCAUUCAUAUCCUGGCUUCAGGGAAAGGAUUUCUGUAAUAAAGUAAACUGUUUGAUCAAUAAAUGCUCUUUUGAAAGGAAAAUUCUUCAAUAAAACUGGGAAAAUUGGAUUCCAGUAAUCA